AUGCCCUGGGCUGGGCAGGUCUGCUCGGAAAGCGACAGGGUGUCUAGACGGCCACGUGACGAGGCCGGAGCCGGGCGCGCCACUGCGCAGUGGAACCAGCCGAGCAGAGGGCCCGAGGGGGGAGCGGGGGGCGGGGAGGAGGCGGCGGCGGCGGCGGCGGCGGCGGCGGCGGCCGGGGCGGGGGAGCGGAGGGGAGGGGAGGGGAGGGGGGAGGGGGCGGGGGCGGGAGGCCUUGCGGGAGGCGGCGAGCCGCGGGCACACUCGCUGCCCGGCUCGGCGCACGGAGCACCCUGCCCCCGAGCCGCGCCAGCCGCGCCAGCCGCGCCAGCCGGGCGCCCUGCUCGGUCCGCUCGCCCGCGGGAGAGAGCUGCGGACACCGAGCCAGCCCGCCGGCGCCGAGCUGCCGAGCUGCCGAGCGGCCGAGCUGCCGAGCGGCCGAGCUGCCGAGCGCCCGGCCCCGGAGACCCUGCGCGCGGCGCGGCGAGCCCCCGGCGGCGGCAGGAGGACCGAGCGCCAGGAGAGGGCGGCCGGGGGACAAGGAGGCUCCGGGCGCGACGAGGAGAGUCUCGAGGAGGAGGCGGCGCGAGGACACCGGGCCUGCUCGCGGCCGCAGCCGGGUGGCGGCGAGCAGCUCCUGGGGGGCGUCCCGGCGGCCAGCCGGCGGCGGGGGGGGGGGGGCGCCGGCGGCCCCCGAGUUAGCGAGCAGCAGCCUGCGCCCAGGAGGGCGAGAGCGCGCGACCCGCCGGGGCCCGCCGCCGCCGCCGCCGCCGCCGCCGCCGCCGCGCCGCCCUCCCCCGCGCUGUCAGCCCCGCCGGGCGCAGCCGCCGCCGCCGCCGCCGCCGCCGCCGCAGCAUCUUCUGCCCCUGCGCCCCCGCCAGCCCCGAGGAAGUCCCCGCCGAGGACCGGGGCCCCCGGGAGCGCGGGAGGAAAGACCAGACUCCCCUAAGACACCCAGAUGCCGAGGAUCGAAGCCGCCCAGCCGGAGCUCUCUGUGGAUUAAAAAAUAUAUACGAUUUUUUUUUUUUUUUCCCCCUUGGCAGAAGAAAAGGAGAGGAAGACCAGCGGGGCUCUGCGAGGAAAAAAAGGGGGAUGUAACUCGUGGAUACGUUUCUCUUCCCACCCCUCAAACGUCUUGUCCUACUUUGUAAACAUUUUCUUUUUUUGAGCCCCAGCUCCAGCCGGACGCCCCCAGAGCUCCGGGGGCGCGAGGAGGCGGCGGCUUUUCCUUUCGGGCUUUGUACGUCUGGCUCGUAGACCUGGGAGAGCCGCCCCGUUCCGCCAGGCAUCUCAUGCGGGGUGAAGUCCGCGCGGCCCCCUCCCCCGAGUCUUCGUGUGCACGGAAUCCGAGGAGAUCCGGUUACUAAGGAUAUAGAGGAAAAAAAUAAAUCGCGUGCUUGCUCCUUUUUUUUUUUUUUUUUUUUUAAUUGCCCGUUUCUCCCCACCCCCAAAUUAAGUUGCUUAGCAAGGGGGAAAGCGGCUUUUUCCUCUCCCCAGCGGCCCGGGCGCACGCCUCUCGCGUCCUGCCCCCGCGGGUCUCCCAUGUAGGAAGCCGAGGCUGGCGAGCCCGACACCCGGGAGCCGCCGCGGGGGGGCCCCUCUUCUGGGAGGCGCCGACCAGGGCAGGCCCCGCCGCCCGCAGGCAAGCGGCGGCCGCGCUCGUCCGGGGGGCGCCGGGGCCCGAGAGCCGCGCUCGGCGCGGGCCGCGCGGGGUGGGGCAGCCGGAGCGCGGGCCCCCGAGCCCCGGCGGGCGCCCCCGGGCCCCCGUGCGCGCCGCGGCCUCCGGGAGACUGGCGCAUGCCACGGAGCGCCCCUCGGGCCGCCGCCGCUCCUGCCCGGGCCCCUGCUGCUGCUGCUGUCGCCUGCGCCUGCUGCCCCAACUCGGCGCCCGACUUCUUCAUGGUGUGCGGAGGUCAUGUUCGCUCCUUAGCCGCCAAACGACUUUUC
rnacentral:lncRNA from 1 species